UACGGAGGGUGCAAGCGUUGUCCGGAAUCACUGGGCGUAAAGGGCGCGUAGGCGGCUCAUGAAGGCUGUGGUGAAAGUCCGGGGCUCAACCUCGGAUCGGCCGUGGCGACUCGUGGGCUGGAGCACUGUAGAGGCGUGUGGAAUUCCGGGUGUAGUGGUGAAAUGCGUAGAGAUCCGGAGGAACACCAGUGGCGAAGGCGACACGCUGGGCCGUACCUGACACUGAUGCGCGACAGCAUGGGGAGCAAACAGG
rnacentral:rRNA from 1 species